rnacentral:tRNA from 4 species
GCCGAUGUAGCUCAACUGGCAGAGCGAUUCAUUCGUAAUGAAUAGGUUGCGGGUUCAAGUCCCACCAUCGGCUC